rnacentral:rRNA from 1 species
UACAGAGGAGCCAAGCGUUGUCCGGAUUGACUGGGCGUAAAGCGCACGCAGGCGGUCGGGCGCGUGGGGGUGUGAAAUCUGGCCGCUUAACGGCCAGGCGCCAUCCCCAUACGGCACGACUGGAGUGAUGCAGAGGUCGAUGGAAUUGCCGGUGUAGUGGUGAAAUGCGCGGAUAUCGGGAGGAACACCAAUGGCGAAGGCAGCUCGCUGGGACGUUACUGACGCUGAGACGCGAAAGCGUGGGGAGCAAACAGG